CGCAAUGGGCGAAAGCCUGACGGAGCGACGCCGCGUGACUGAUGAAGUCUUUCGGGAUGUAAAGGUCUUUUAUGAGGGAUGACAUAGCGACAGUACCUCAUGAAUAAGGGGCUGCUAAUCACGUGCCAGCAGCAGCGGUAAGACGUGAGCCCCAAGCGUUAUCCGGAAUUACUGGGCGUAAAGCGUGCGUAGGCGGCGUGGUUAGUCUCCUGUCAAAUCCAUCGGCUCAACCGAUGAACUCCAGGGGAAACGGCCAUGCUUGAGGGUGCGAGAGGCCUGUAGAACUUAUCAUGUAGGGGUGAAAUCCGUUGAUAUGAUAGGGAAUACCAAAAGCGAAGGCAGCAGGCUGGCGCAUUCCUGACGCUGAGUCACGAAAGCGU
rnacentral:rRNA from 1 species